rnacentral:rRNA from 1 species
CAAUAGCGUAUAUUAAAGUUGUUGCAGUUAAAAAGCUCGUAGUUGGAUUUCUGCCAGGGUGCCAAUGUCCGCCGAAGUGCGUGCGCAGCGGCGCCCUCGCAUCCUUCUGUUAACGCCUCUCGGCAUUUACUUGCCGGUGGUGGGCUCAGAUAAUUUACCUUGAGAAAAUUAGAAUGUUUCAGGCAGGCUAGGCCGGAAUACAUUAGCAUGGAAUAAUGGAAUAGGACUACGGUCUCGUUGUUGGUUUGAGGGACUGGAGUAAUGAUUAAUAGGGAUAGUUGGGGGCAUUAGUAUUUAAUUGUCAGAGGUGAAAUUCUCAGAUUUGUUAAAGACUAACUUAUGCGAAAGCAUUUGCCAAGGAUGUUUUCAUUAA